rnacentral:rRNA from 1 species
AUUGAACGCUGGCGGCAGGCCUAACACAUGCAAGUCGAGCGAGCGGCGGACGGGUGAGUAAUGUAUGGGGAUCUGCCCGAUAGAGGGGGAUAACUACUGGAAACGGGCGCUAAUACCGCAUACUAUCAGAUGAACCCAAGUGGGAUUAGCUAGUUGGUGGGGUAAAGGCCAACCAAGGCGACGAUCCGUAGCUGGUCUGAGAGGAUGAUCGGCAACACUGGAACUGGGAAACGGCCCAGACUCCUAAGGGAGGCAGCAGUGGGGAAUAUUGCACAAUGGGCGCAAGCCUGAUGCAGCCAUGCCGCGUGUAUGAAGAAGGCCUUAGGGUUGUAAAGUACUUUCAGCGGGGAGGCGUUACCCGCAGAAGAAGCACCGGCUAACUCCGUGCCAGCAGCCGCGGUAAUAC